CACGGAGCCGACCAGGCAGCAGGCUUCCUGCAAAGGCAGCUUGGACGGGCUCCUGCUCUUCCUCAAGGGGCUCGUGGUCUAGGACAGGAGGUUGGAACACACAUCCCCGCAGGGGCCAGGAGGGGAAACUCUGCAAGGGCAUUGAGUGGAGGAGACUGCAAGGAGACAGCCACAGCCCUUCCCAGGGUCAGCAGGUAUCACCUUGAUGGAAUUGAGCCCCACCUUGACAGAUCUUCUGAUUUUCCAAGAAGAAUCUGGGAACCUCUUUUUAAACAUGUUUUUAUUAAGAGACAGGGUCUUGCUUGUUGCCGAGGCUGGCCUUGAAUUCCUGGGCUCAAGUGAUCCUCCUGCCUCAGCUUCCCAGGUAGUUGGGACUACAGGUGGAUGCAAUCGCUUCUGGCUUUGGGAAUCCAUUUUUUAAAGUUGAACUCUCCUGAUGAUGAAGUGUCAGCAACUAAUCCCCGAAAUGUGAAAACCCUGUGCUUUUGAUGGGAACGUAAAAUGAUGCAGUUGCUUCGCAAAACAGCUGGCAGUCCAUCAAACGGUCUAACAUAGGGUUACCCUGCAACCCAGCAACUCCACUCCUAGACAUAUAGCCAACAGAACUGAAAACAUCCAGCCAUCCGCACACGAACUUGUAUAGGAAGGUGCGUAGCAGCCCUCAGUCCUACAGACAAAUGAAUACUGACUGGCAACAACCCAAGUGAGUGUGGAGGUGGGUUCUUCCCCGGUCGAGUCCCCAGGUGAGACUGCGUCCUGGCCAACAAACCAAGUGAGUGUGGAGGCGGGUUCCUCCACGGUUGAGCCUCCAUCUGAGACUGCGUCCUAGCCAACACCUUGAUCUGCAGCCUAGUGAGGCCCAGAGCAGAGGGCCCAGUUGAACUGUGUGAUAAUAAACAUGUGUGGCUGUAAGCUGCUAAACAUGUCAUACUUUGUUACACAGCAACAGAGAGCUGAUACAGUCCUUAAAGUUCUAGAACAGUGCCUGGCCUAGGUAUCAGUGUUCCCUGGCACCACUGUCUGCUGAGCUGUGUGUGUCAGAAACAGAGGGAACCAGGUGCCAGUCCCUCCCCUGGCCUAGCUCUUCCCACUACCAUGACUCUUGUUGGGAGUGAAAGGAUUUUACCCCCUUUCUUUGUCAGCAGCUGGCCUGGACUCCCAGGGGAGCCUGGUCAAUAUUAAUGGACACGCAAGGCUGUGGGGCACACAGGGUUUUGUGAUUAUGGAUUAUCUCCUGCUCAGCACCAUCUUGAAGGUGGAGACAAAAGUUCUCAGCCAGCAAGCUCCAGGUGCACCCCAGGAAGCCGGCACUGCUGAUCUUGAGUAAAACACACGUAGGCCUGAGUCCAAGCUGCCACUCACCUGCUGGCGUGACUAGGAGAAACCAAGCGAGCCACAACUGCUCUGGCUCUCAGCUGAUGUCUCCGGAAAGUGGGCUAGUAACCCCUGCCUUACUUGUCCCGAGUACCUACUAUGUGCCAGGUGCCAGCUGAGCACCUGCCAUCGGCAGCCCAUUUAAUCAUCCCAGCAACCCCACCUGAAUUCUCAGAGGCUCAGAAGUCAAGUCAGCUGCCCAACGUCACCCAGCUGGUCACAGUGAGAGCCGAGAAUGCAGGCCAGCAUGUGUCCUCUGUCAAGUACCUAGUCCCCGCACAGUGUCCAGGGCACAGUAGGUGCUCAGUAAACACUGGCAGAGCCUGGUUCUGCACCCCCACGCCUAGCGGCCGUACAGCAACCCAGGCCGCACUCUGGGGCAAGUAGGUUUGUGCUGCUGGUGAAUGGCAGAGAGGGGAGGUUUGCUGAUGGGCUGAGGCUGAUUUAUCUCAAGAGCAAAGCAGGGAAGAUGAGACAAGGAACACAACCGCAGGAGGGGGAAGAGACGCCAGCAUCCUGACAACACAAAAGAACACGGCGUCGCCUCCUCUUCGCCCCGAGGAAAAAUCAAGCACAGGCACGAAGCCAAGUGUAGGGGGAAAGACAGUCCCUUCCCCAGGGCGCUGGCAGGGUGUGUGCAUUGGCUAGGGAGGGCGGCGGGCACAGCCAGCCCAGGAGCACCUCCCGGGCUGGCCAGAGGCCCCUGCCCCUGCUGGGGACACUCAGGUUGCAGCACCAGUGCUGUCGUCUGCCAGGGAGGGAGAGAAGGGAACAUGGACAGGCCAGCCCUGCCACGGGAGCCCUCUUCUCCCGCUGUCCUGACCCGCUGUGGCCCCGCACCAAAGCCCACCUACGAAGACAUUCUGCUCAACCUGCCCUGAUGGGAUUUCUUGUUCUGUGCUGCAAGCUAGUGUGUCAGAAGCCAAAAACAGUAUUUUACGCCCCUUAAUUCCCUGUAAUAGCUCCAUAAUGGCAAGCAGAGGCUCCAAAUACUGCAAUAAAGGGAAUGAUAAGGCUUCGGGUCAGGGGGAGAUUGGAGAUGCCGAAUGCAG
rnacentral:lncRNA from 1 species